AAUAAGCUUGUGAAACGACGGAAAAUAAAAGUAUUGUAAAAAUUGAGGAACACAAGCAGGAUGCAAUUAAGAUAUAAGCAUUACAAGACCUCUACAUUCUGACCUUCACAGACAAAAUCUGAGUGCAUGCUAGAUGACCUUCAAGUCAAUUAUUUAUUAUUAGUGUGCUGUAUCAACAUCCAGAAGGCCAAUUACAGUUACAGCACAAGAGAUGAUCACAGGAAACAAUAAUAAAUACAGAAAGUCCCUGCAUACAACAUUAGCAGCUGAUGUGCAUAUAGCAGAAGAACUGUAUUUAAUUGAAGGGCUAAAACUGAACAUAGAAAAAUCUCUCAGAUUAUGAGAGAGAUAACAUUUCCCAGGUCAGAUUGCUCCUUAGCAACAGUAAUGCCCAGCAGCUGGUCCUCCAACCCAACAGGUGUUACCAUGAAGUUCAACAGGGUUACUUUCACUAAUACCUCAGGUUGAUAGUGUGGAUUGUGUAACUUUGUU